rnacentral:rRNA from 1 species
CACGUAGGGACCAAGCGUUGUCCGGAUUUAUUGGGCGUAAAGCGCUCGUAGGCGGUUAUUCAAGUCAGAGGUGAAAGCCCGGGGCUCAACCCCGGAACUGCCUUUGAAACUAGAUAACUAGAAUCUUGGAGAGGUCAGUGGAAUUCCGAGUGUAGAGGUGAAAUUCGUAGAUAUUCGGAAGAACACCAGUGGCGAAGGCGACUGACUGGACAAGUAUUGACGCUGAGGUACGAAAGCGUGGGGAGCAAACAGG